CUCUAAUAUUUCUCUGGUCUAAAGGCACCAAAUCCUGCCUGAUCUUGGAAGGUAAGCUGGGUGAGCCCUGGUUAGUACUGGGAUGGGAGAUCAUCAGGUGCUCUCUAGGCUGUAUUUCAGA
rnacentral:rRNA from 11 species